rnacentral:lncRNA from 1 species
CAAGGAUUAUUUUCUUAAGGGCUUUCAGUUCUUCUAAUCGAAUCAGUGAGAACAUCCUGUUUCUGAAUAUUAUGCGCGAUUGGAAUAUGAACAUGCUGCAUGGGCGGAAUGGAUUAAUCUCAAGAAGUUGAACACAUCACAAAUUAUAUUCCACCUUAGCGUUGACCUCUUGUGUAUUCUUUUAUUCUCCUUGCAUUUCAAAACAAAAGGCUAGAAUCAUAUGCUUCAUGCCUAAGGAUUUCUACAAGUUAGUUAAAGCUAGCUUCUCAAGAUUUAUAUAUGAUCAGAAUCUUUAAUUUCCUUUUAAUAGAUGUAUUAAAAAAAUGGUUAUCUUCACAUCUUUUUACUUUUAUAAGCAUUCACAAUGUCAACUUAACAGAGAUUGAAUUAGGCUAGACUAGGACAGGGGUAUCAAAUCAACAAAAAAAAACCUUGUGACACUAGUUUUUCAAGUUUUGAAAUGGAAAAUAAAAGAAUGAAAAUCUUAAAUUUGGGUAGA